rnacentral:misc_RNA from 1 species
UUUAAAAAGUAAUUUUUCGGUUUUCAAAAUUCACAAAAAAAAAUUCUUUAACUUCCAAAAUUCACAAUUAACUAUAAAAACCCAGCAAAAAUUCAGAAUCUGAUAUCCUUUUACGUUUUAAGUUGACUGAAGUGUUAACCCUGGUGUAAAGUAUGAAAAUAUGCAAUAAAUAGAAAUUGCUUAAUUCAAAAGCCUUUACCGAAACAAAUUCGACAUCCACUGCUCAUCGGCGAACUCGUUUUCCAUUCAAAAAUUUGUAGUAAAAAUUUGGUAAAGAGAAAAAAAACAAAUCUAAAAAUAUGUCCGCUGCUAAAAUGAAGACCGUACCACCCAGUACUGCCACUACAGACGCACAAGAGCGUCUACGUAAGCAGCAGCAGCAGCAACAACAGAAUGAUAAAAUUGCUAAAAAGUAUAUGUUGUCAACAACGGUCGAUUCUGAUCAACCAACAACAGCCACAACAACGGCAGCGGCCGCAACCGCAACAGUUUCAGCGGCUAGCACUGCAGCCGCACGUCGAAAUCACACUAGAAAAUUACGCUCGGCCAGCGGUGAUGAUAUAAAACGACCCGUCGACAAGCGUUCAACAACAACAACUUCAACGAAACGCAAACGUCAUGUAGACUUUAUGCCACCGAAUAAAUCAAAAACACGUCUAACUACCGCAAAAACCAAAACACAGCCAGCACCUAGCACCACAAAUUCUACUGAUUCACCAGCCACCACUGUGGUCAAAUCCAAGUCCAUACUCAAAGUUAAGCAAAUAACUGUGGUCAAACGUAAAACUGGCACAAAUAAAGUGACUAAAAAACUGAAAAAAGCGCCACAGGGCGCACAAGCUGAAAUGGAGGCGGCUGAGUUGUCUAAGUUGGAGCAACAGUUUGCAAGAAAUCCGCCGGUUGUAACAAAUGCCGAGGAAACGCCAACAAAUGACAAUGCGUCAGCCGCAAAUACGGCAGUGACAAUAAAUUCCCACGAUAAUGGUCAUCAACUCACUAGUUUUAACAAUCGACGCUUACACAGGCGUAAGCAUUUCAUGCCCGCCGGCGCCGGCAUUGUCGAGUCGGGUUCUGUUAAUGUGCCACCCGUGCGUCGCUUUAGUCCUGUGCGCGACAAAGCCGCACUCUUUGCCAAAGAAAGUGCGAAAGUUUAUAAUAGUGUUGACUCCUUUAAUAUACCCACCAAAAGCAAUAACAUAACUGUGGCUAUGGUCAAAGAGGUGCAUACAAAUAAACCAAUAAAUAAAUCAAACAACGAAGAAGCACCACCGCCAAAUCAAAAUGAAACACCAAAUAAUGCGGUUGCCUCGAAUUUAGUCGCAUCUCAGGCUAAUGUCGCUGAUGGUAGUCCUGUUGCGGGUGGUGGCCCAGUGCAUACACCACAAGAGUUACAAAAUGCAAUAAUUGCACCAGUGGUAGUGCCAAUUGCCGAACCCACUGCUUCCAUUACGGCCUCAACUAAAAAUAAACGAAGAAAGCGCAGCUAAAACUAGCACCGAAGCUGCUGCCGCUGCUGGUCCAUCAACAUCAACCUCCCAAACAGCCGAAGAAGACAAAGACAAGGAGGAAGAUAAAGAUGCAAAAAAGAAAAAGAAUCGUUGCGCUGAGUGCCGUAAGAAAGUUGGUCUUACAGGCUUUCAAUGCCGAUGUGGUGGACUCUACUGCGCUGUACACAGAUACAGUGAUAAACACGACUGCACAUUUAACUAUCGGGAACAUGGGGCCCAAGAGAUUCGACGCAAUAAUCCUGUGGUAGUUGGCGAAAAAAUACAAAAAA